rnacentral:rRNA from 1 species
UACGAAGGGGCUAGCGUUGCUCGGAAUCACUGGGCGUAAAGGGUGCGUAGGCGGGUUUUAAGUCAGGGGUGAAAUCCUGGAGCUCAACUCCAGAACUGCCUUUGAUACUGAAGAUCUUGAGUCCGGGAGAGGUGAGUGGAACUGCGAGUGUAGAGGUGAAAUUCGUAGAUAUUCGCAAGAACACCAGUGGCGAAGGCGGCUCACUGGCCCGGUACUGACGCUGAGGCACGAAAGCGUGGG